rnacentral:misc_RNA from 1 species
CAGAGUUGCAAAACUCCCACAAACCAUCGCGAAUCUUACCCGUACGGUUGCCUCGGCGCUGGCGGUCCGGAAGGCCCUCGGCCCCCCGGAUCCUCGGGUCUCCCGCUCGCGGGAGGCUGCCCGCCGGAGUGCCGAAACCAAACUCUUGAUAUUUUAUGUCUCUCUGAGUAAACUUUUAAAUAAGUUA